rnacentral:rRNA from 1 species
AUUCCAGCUCCAAUAGCGUAUAUUAAAGUUGUUGCAGUUAAAAAGCUCGUAGUUGAAUUUGUGGAGGUUUCCAUGGUCCAAAAUGUUUUGGUACUCUUGGGAACAGCCAUCCUUGGGGGGAACCUGUGAGGCAUUAGGUUGUUUUGCGGGGGAUGCCCAUCAUUUACUGUGAAAAAAUUAGAGUGUUCAAAGCAGGCUUAUGCCAUUGAAUAGAUUAGCAUGGAAUAAUGAGAUAGGACUUUGGUACUAUUUUGUUGGUUUGUGCACCAGAGUAAUGAUUAAUAGGGACAGUUGGGGGUAUUCGUAUUCCAUUGUCAGAGGUGAAAUUCUUGGAUUUUUGGAAGACGAACUACUGCGAAAGCAUUUACCAAGGAUGUU